rnacentral:rRNA from 1 species
ACCAUGGUGGUAACGGGUAACGGGGUGUUAGGGCACGACACCGGAGAGGGAGCCUGAGAAACGGCUACCACAUCCAAGGAAGGCAGCAGGCGCGCAAAUUACCCAAUCCCGACAUGGGGAGGUAGUGACAAUAAAUAACAAUACAGGGUUCUUUUGGAUCUUGUAAUUGGAAUGAGUACAAUUUAAAUCUCUUAACGAGGAACAAUUGGAGGGCAAGUCUGGUGCCAGCAGCCGCGGUAAUUCCAGCUCCAAUAGCGUAUAUUAAAGUUGUUGCAGUUAAAAAGCUCGUAGUUGAAUUUCGGGAUCAAAGAAUCGGUCAUGCYUUGGUAUGUACUGGUUUUAUUGGUUCUCACCUUCUAAAGAACCAUAAUGUCAUUUAUUUGAUGUUAUGGGGAAUUAGGACUGUUACCUUGAAAAAAUUAGAGUGUUUAAAGCAAGCUUACGCUUGAAUACAUUAGCAUGGAAUAAUGAAAUAGGACAUCMGAUUCUAUUUUGUUGGUUUCUAGGAUCGAUGUAAUGAUUAAUAGGGAUAGUUGGGGGCAUUAGUAUUCAAUUGUCAGAGGUGAAAUUCUUGGAUUUAUUGAAGACUAACUACUGCGAAAGCAUUUGCCAAGGAUGUUUUCAUUAAUCAAGAACGAAAGUUAGGGGAUCGAAGACGAUCAGAUACCGUCGUAGUCUUAACCAUAAANCUAUGCCGACUAGGGAUCGGAUGAUGUUWAUUUUWUARUGACUCAUUCGGCACCUUACG